UCUACGGGAGGCUGCAGUGGGGAAUAUUGGACAAUGGGCGAAAGCCUGAUCCAGCCAUGCCGCGUGUGUGAAGAAGGCCUUCGGGUUGUAAAGCACUUUCAGUGGGGAAGAAAGCCUUGGGGCUAAUACCCUCGAGGAAGGACAUCACCCACAGAAGAAGCACCGGCUAACUCCGUGCCAGCAGCCGCGGUAAUACGGAGGGUGCGAGCGUUAAUCGGAAUUACUGGGCGUAAAGCGCGCGUAGGCGGUCUGAUAAGCCGGUUGUGAAAGCCCCGGGCUCAACCUGGGAACGGCAUCCGGAACUGUCAGGCUAGAGUGCAGGAGAGGAAGGUAGAAUUCCCGGUGUAGCGGUGAAAUGCGUAGAGAGCGGGAGGAAUACCAGUGGCGAAGGCGGCCUUCUGGACUGACACUGACGCUGAGGUGCGAAAGCGUGGGUAGCAAACAGGAUUAGAUACCCUGGUAGUC
rnacentral:rRNA from 1 species